rnacentral:rRNA from 1 species
UACGAAGGGGGCGAGCGUUGUUCGGAAUUACUGGGCGUAAAGCGCACGUAGGCGGAUUUGUUAGUCAAGGGUGAAAUGCCGGGGCUCAACCUCGGAAUUGCAUUUGAUACUGCAAGUCUCGAGUCCGGAAGAGGUGAGUGGAAUUCCUGGUGUAGAGGUGAAAUUCGUAGAUAUUAGGAAGAACACCAGUGGCGAAGGCGGCUCACUGGUCCGGUACUGACGCUGAGGUGCGAAAGAGUGGGGAGCAAACAGG